ACGUAGGGCGCGAGCGUUACUCGGAAUCACUGGGCAUAAAGGGCGUGUAGGCGGAUGCGUAAGUCCGGUGUGAAAUCCCCCGGCUCAACCGGGGAAAGCCAUCGGAUACUGCGUGUCUCGAGUGUGGGAGGGGAGAGUGGAACUCUUGGUGGAGCGGUGAAAUGCGUAGAUAUCAAGAGGAACGCCGGUGGCGAAAGCGACUCUCUGGCCCAUCACUGACGCUGAGGCGCGAAAGCCAGGGGAGCAAACGG
rnacentral:rRNA from 1 species